CUCCGGGAAAGCUGGUUCCUUUUGCGGGCACCCGUCCCCGCCUCCCCCAGGCCCCUCGACCAGGUCCACCUCGCAGAGCACGACUAUGGGGAUCCUCGCUGUUGCAGCAGCUGGGCGGGCAGCUCAUCGUGACCUCGAGGGGUUGGGCGCGCCAAGAGCGCCGACGACGCCGCUCACUCGUCCUUAGGAGGCCGAACACCUGGGCUCGUCCGGAUGGUCAAGGCUCGGCCCAAUACGCCGGUGGGAAGAGCAACCAGGGAAGGAACACUCCAACCCCCCCUCCUCUACAGGCGGGAGGAAGCCCGGGACUCCGGCGGUGGAUUCGAAACGCCAACACCCUGCGGUCUUCUAGGUCGUAACCCGGAACUGUUUGGGCGGCGCCUUCAGGCGUCUCGGAAGGAAAGAAGAGGACUCUCAAGCCUCGGUGGAGGGUAGCUGAAGAAAAAGCUGAGAAUGAGAUCUUCCAGUAGACAGUAUAGAACGAAAAGAGAAGGCAGCCUGCUCUCUUCUUGAAACUCAUCUGUUGAACUCUGGGAGACUACCCCAUCCUAGUUCUGUACCUGCCUCCCUACUUCUGCAUUUCAACUGUUGCUGAUCCACAAGGAUUGGACCUUCCCCCCAACCCCUUGGAGAACUUAUCUGAUGACUCAGGGUACAGGUUGCUCUGGAGCUCCAGCCCUGGGAACCCUUCUCCAGAUUGUAGAGAGAAGGAGGCAGCACAGUGUAGUGGAAAGAUCAUGGCCCAGUGAAUCAGGCAGAUGUGCGCCUCAUCACCUGGGGGAAAAAACUCCAAUCUAAACAUCCUGGUCUUCAACUGUAAGAUGACUGCCGAGCUAUGAAGUUGUUCAGAGAAUUCAAAAGGUAAAAUGUGUGACAUGUCCAAAGAGUUUUUGUUUGACAGCAAGUAGAGUCUUAAAAUUUGUUCCCUCCCCUUUGCCAUUACCUACCCGUGAGCUGAUUCAGUGCUAACAACUCCAUCGGAUAUGCCUCGGAGAGUUCCUGUUUUCACCUAUGCAGUCACAGAGGCACAGAGAGGUUCCGUAACUGAUCUGAGGUCCCACAGCAGAUGGGGAGGGGUGCAGGGCAUAGUCUGGGAAGGAAGAUGACAUGAGGGAUGCUGCUUGGGUUGAGCGGGUGUCUGGCUCUGGGAAUGAACCCACUCAGGUGUAUAGGCCCCACCCCUGCUCCUUCCCCAGGACAGGUCUUCUCUGUCCUAACUGCUAAUUGCAGGGUGAAGGCCAGGAACUUCAUCUGGCAAACCUGGAGUUCGAGGCUGUCAGAAGAGAGGCACCACUCCCUUGUGCCUCUCAGGUGAGCCCUACCCAUCGUGCCAGGCUUCUUUUCAUCAGACAUGUUGAAGUAUCUGAUAUGUGUGCAAGGGGCAGCGUCAUUCUAGGUGCUGAGGAGAAGAAAGCACAAUACACGGAACUCUCACAUUUGUGGAGCUUUCAUUCCUGGCAGAGAAGAGGGCCCAAGCCCCCUUCAGUGAGGAAAAGCGGUGGAGUGACACACUGGGUUGAGUCCUCUGGAGACAAAACUCCAAUAGGAGAAGGGCCAUGGGAAGUGUGGGUUUCGAUUUUGCAAUGCAUGUGAUUUCUAUGAUGGAUUCACUUGCCUCAAGCCACAAAAAUCUUGCUCGAAAUUUAAUCUUUUCUUCCCGACGGCUUGUACCACAGACCACUUUUACUUUUAUCAUCGUCGUACAGGGAGAUAUUUCUACCGUUACUCAAAACUAUCUUGUAGGCCUUGUGAAGCAGGAAUGUCCCAAUUAUUUCAUGACUUAUUGAGAGAAACACAUUGCUGCCUUAAGGACAAGUGUAAUGAUGUUGAAAAGACUUUGGAUAUUUUUAAAUCCCCUAGAUAACAAUACAAAGAAAGUAUACAUAAAGACAGAAAAUAAAAUAAGAUU
rnacentral:lncRNA from 1 species